rnacentral:rRNA from 1 species
UACGUAGGGUGCGAGCGUUGUCCGGAAUUAUUGGGCGUAAAGAGCUUGUAGGUGGUUUGUCGCGUCUGCUGUGAAAAUCCGAGGCUCAACCUCGGACUUGCAGUGGGUACGGGCAGACUAGAGUGUGGUAGGGGGAGACUGGAAUUCCCUGGUGUAGCGGUGGAAUGCGCAGAUAUCAGGAGGAACACCGAUGGCGAAGGCAGGUCUCUGGGCCAUUACUGACACUGAGAAGCGAAAGCAUGGGGAGCGAACAGG